CUACGGGGCGCUGCAGUGGGGAAUAUUGGACAAUGGGGGGAACCCUGAUCCAGCCAUGCCGCGUGUGUGAAGAAGGCCUUUUGGUUGUAAAGCACUUUAAGCAGUGAAGAAGACUCUUCGGUUAAUACCCGGGGACGAUGACAUUAGCUGCAGAAUAAGCACCGGCUAACUCUGUGCCAGCAGCCGCGGUAAUACAGAGGGUGCAAGCGUUAAUCGGAAUUACUGGGCGUAAAGCGAGCGUAGGUGGCUUGAUAAGUCAGAUGUGAAAUCCCCGGGCUUAACCUGGGAACUGCAUCUGAACUGUUAGGCUAGAGUAUGUGAGAGGGAAGUAGAAUUUCAGGUGUAGCGGUGAAAUGCGUAGAGAUCUGAAGGAAUACCGAUGGCGAAGGCAGCUUCCUGGCAUCAUACUGACACUGAGGCUCGAAAGCGUGGGUAGCAAACAGGAUUAGAUACCCCCGUAGUC
rnacentral:rRNA from 1 species